rnacentral:tRNA from 5 species
GGAAGAGUGGCCGAGCGGUUUAAGGCACCGGUCUUGAAAACCGGCGUAGGCGAGAGUCUACCGUGGGUUCGAAUCCCACCUCUUCCGCCA